AUACGGCAUAAUGAUACCCAGCUUAAUAGUGUUUUGGUUAGGCUGGUACGCCCGUCUGUAAGGGCUUUAGUAAUGUGAUUUCUGUUCAUUGUCAAAUACUAAAAAUGCUUUAAUUAAUUUUAUCGCCUGGCAAUAAAAAAAAAAAAACAAAUUAUUUAUGCAUCUGGUAACUUCAGAGUUCAGUUCUUUACUUCUUUCUUUAUAGAUUUUGCACGGGCCCGCUCGCAUGUCGUAGCCGGUCCUCAUAUUGUAUCUUCAAUUAUUGCAACGAUCAUAAGGCUAUAAGCGGUCUCUCCAAAGUAAACUUUUAAUCUCUUCGGUAUGAGAGCCAAGUGGCGUAAGAAGCGCAUGCGAAGGCUAAAGCGUAAACGCAGGAAGAUGCGUGCGAGGUCCAAAUAAACUGGGUGCAUGGGUGCUGUAGAAGACUUAACAUCUAAAACUCACUUGUGUAUCAAAUAAAAAAAAUGCAAAAAAAAUA